rnacentral:rRNA from 1 species
CAUAUCAAUAAGCGGAGGAAAAGAAACUAACAAGGAUUCCCCUAGUAACUGCGAGUGAAGCGGGAAAAGCUCAAAUUUAAAAUCUGUCAGUCUUUGGCUGUCCGAGUUGUAAUCUAGAGAAGCGUUAUCCGUGCUGGACCGUGUACAAGUCUCCUGGAAUGGAGCGUCAUAGAGGGUGAGAAUCCCGUCUUUGACACGGACUACCAGUGCUUUGUGAUGCGCUCUCAAAGAGUCGAGUUGUUUGGGAAUGCAGCUCAAAAUGGGUGGUAAAUUCCAUCUAAAGCUAAAUAUUGGCGAGAGACCGAUAGCGAACAAGUACCGUGAGGGAAAGAUGAAAAGAACUUUGGAAAGAGAGUUAAACAGUACGUGAAAUUGCUGAAAGGGAAACGCUUGAAGUCAGUCGCGUUGUCCAGGGAUCAACCUUGCUUUUGCUGGGUGUACUUUCUGGUUGACGGGUCAGCAUCAAUUUUGACCAUUGGAAAAAGAUCAGGGGAAUGUGGCAUCUUUGGAUGUGUUAUAGCCCUUGGUUGCAUACAGUGGUUGGGAUUGAGGAACUCAGCACGCCGCAAGGCCGGGUUUUAACCACGUACGUGCUUAGGAUGCUGGCAUAAUGGCUUUAAUCGACCCGUCUUGAAACACGGACCAAGGAGUCUAACAUGCCUGCGAGUGUUUGGGUGGAAAACCCAAGCGCGUAAUGAAAGUGAAAGUUGAGAUCCCUGUCGUGGGGAGCAUCGACGCCCGGACCAGACCUUUUGUGACGGUUCCGCGGUAGAGCAUGUAUGUUGGGACCCGAAAGAUGGUGAACUAUGCCUGAAUAGGGUGAAGCCAGAGGAAACUCUGGUGGAGGCUCGUAGCGAUUCUGACGUGCAAAUCGAUCGUCAAAUUUGGGUAUAGGGGCGAAAGACUAAUC